GAUGAAGAACGUAGCGAAAUGCGAUACGUAGUGUGAAUUGCAGAAUUCAGUGAAUCAUCGAAUCUUUGAACGCACAUUGCGCCCUUUGGUAUUCCAAAGGGCAUGCCUGUUCGAGCGUCAUUUGUACCCUCAAGCUUUGCUUGGUGUUGGGCGUUUUUGUCUUUGGUCCGCCAAAGACUCGCCUUAAAAUGAUUGGCAGCCGGCCUACUGGUUUCGCAGCGCAGCACAUUUUUGCGCUUGCAAUCAGCAAAAGAGGACGGCAAUCCAUCAAGACUCCUUCUCACGUUUGACCUCGGAUCAGGUAGGGAUACCCGCUGAACUUAAGCAUAUCAAUAAGCGGAGGA
rnacentral:misc_RNA from 1 species